GACGAACGCUGGCGGCGGGCUUAACACAUGCAAGUCGAAGGAGAAGGUUGUUGCUUGCAAUGACUGGAGACUGGCGAACGGGUGAGUAACGCGUAGACAACCUGCCUUUAGUUGGGGGAUAACACUGCGAAAGUGGUGCUAAUACCGCAUAAUGCAGCGGGGCCGCAUGGUCAUAGUUGUUAAAGCCUUAGGGCGACUGAAGAUGGGUCUGCGUGCUAUUAGCUAGUUGGUGUGGUAACGGCGCACCAAGGCGAUGAUAGCUAGGGGGUCUGAGAGGAUGAUCCCCCACACUGGGACUGAGACACGGCCCAGACCUCUACGGAGGGCAGCAGUGAGGAAUCUUGCGCAAUGGGCGAAAGCCUGACGCAGCCACGCCGCGUGUCGGAAGACGGCCCUAUGGGUUGUAAACGACUUUUACCAGGGAAGAACGGGAGGGUUUCGACCUUUUAUGACGGUACCUGGUGAAUAAGCACCGGCUAACUCCGUGCCAGCCGCCGCCGUAACAC
rnacentral:rRNA from 1 species